GCAACUCGCCUACACGAAGUUGGAAUUGCUGUAAUCGUGGAUCAGCAUGCCACGGUGAAUACGUUCCCGGGUCUUGUACACACCGCCCGUCACACCAUGGGAGCUGGUAACACCCGAAGUCAGUAGUCUAACCGCAAGGAGGACGCUGCCGAAGGUGGGAUUAGCGACUGGGGUGAAGUCGUAACAAGGUAUC
rnacentral:rRNA from 1 species